GACGAACCGUGCGGACGUUAUUCGGAAUCACUGGGCUUAAAGCGCGUGUAGGCGGAUGGGAACGUCGGUAGUUGAAAGCCCCCGGCUCAACCGGGGAAGUGGUGCCGAAACGACCCGUCUGGAGGGACGUAGGGGGACCUGGAACUUCCGGUGGAGCGGUGAAAUGCGUUGAGAUCGGAAGGAACGCCCGUGGCGAAAGCGAGGUCCUGGACGUCUACUGACGCUGAGACGCGAAAGCUAGGGGAGCAAACGGG
rnacentral:rRNA from 1 species